GAUGAACGCUGGCGGCGUGCCUAAUACGUGCAAGUCGAGCGAACAGACGAGGAGCUUGCUCCUCUGACGUUAGCGGCGGACGGGUGAGUAACACGUGGAUAACCUACCUAUAAGACUGGGAUAACUUCGGGAAACCGGAGCUAAUACCGGAUAAUAUAUUGAACCGCAUGGUUCAAUAGUGAAAGACGGUUUUGCUGUCACUUAUAGAUGGAUCCGCGCCGCAUUAGCUAGUUGGUAAGGUAACGGCUUACCAAGGCAACGAUGCGUAGCUGACCUGAGAGGGUGAUCGGCCACACUGGAACUGAGACACGGUCCAGACUCCUACGGGAGGCAGCAGUAGGGAAUCUUCCGCAAUGGGCGAAAGCCUGACGGAGCAACGCCGCGUGAGUGAUGAAGGUCUUCGGAUCGUAAAACUCUGUUAUUAGGGAAGAACAAAUGUGUAAGUAACUAUGCACGUCUUGACGGUACCUAAUCAGAAAGCCACGGCUAACUACGUG
rnacentral:rRNA from 1 species